rnacentral:rRNA from 1 species
AUUGAACGCUGGAGGCAGGCUUAACACAUGAAAGUCGAGCUAGCGGCGGACGGGUGAGUAAUGUCUGGGAAAAUGCGUGAUGGAGGGGGAUAACUACUGGAAACGGUAGCUAAUACCGCCUACCAUAAGAGGUGACCAAAUGGGAUUAGCUAGGAGGUGGGGUAAUGGCUCACCUAGGGGACGAUCCCUAGCUGGUAUGAGAGGAUGACCAGCCACACUGGAACUGAGACACGGUCCAGACUCCUACGGGAGGCAGCAGUGGGGAAUAUUGCACAAUGGGCGCAAGCCUGAUGCAGCCAUGCCGCGUGUGUGAAGAAGGCCUUCGGGUUGUAAAGCACUUUCAGCGAGGAGGCGUUACUCGCAGAAGAAGCACCGGCUAACUCCGUGCCAGCAGCCGCGGUAAUUC